rnacentral:rRNA from 2 species
GACGAACCGUACGAACGUUAUUCGGAAUCACUGGGCUUAAAGGGUGCGUAGGCGGUGCGGAAAGUUGGGUGUGAAAUCCCUUGGCUCAACCAAGGAACUGCGCUCAAAACUACCGUGCUUGAGGGAGACAGAGGUGAGCGGAACUUAGGGUGGAGCGGUGAAAUGCGUUGAUAUCCUAAGGAACACCGGUGGCGAAGGCGGCUCACUGGGUCUCUUCUGACGCUGAGGCACGAAAGCUAGGGUAGCGAACGGG